rnacentral:lncRNA from 1 species
GAAGCUGAGGAUGAUGAGGCUUGGUGAUGGGGUCAGGCUCUGCUUCUGACUUCAGGUCUGGCUCUGGCACGGACUCCCGGUCGGGGUCUGGUAACGUAGAGACCCGACACGUUUCUUCGACUGUCCUGUGGGAUCCUGCCUGCGUCCGGGCAGCUGUUUUGGAGCGCUUCAAAGAAGGGAGUGAGUUCGGGUGCCCGGUGUCGGGUCUGUGAAGCCGCCUCCUCCUCCCAGGGAUCUCUCUCCGUGGCCAGCCUGUUCCAUGCGAAUGGUAGUGCUAUUGGCCUUCCAGUCCCACCCACCACAGCCUUAAUUACCCCAGGUCCUGUUCGUCAUUGCCAAAUCCCCGACUUACCAGUAGAUGGGAGCCUGUUCUUUGAAUUUCUUUUCUUCAUCUACCUGCUGAUUGUUCUGUUCAUUCAGUAUAUCAACAUCUAUAAGACCGUGUGGUGGUAUCCAUACAAUCAUCCUGCAUCUUGUACUUCACUGAAUUUUCAUCUCAUUGAUUAUUACCUGGCAGCAUUCAUCACAGUGAUGCUUGCGAGGAGGCUCGUAUGGGCCCUCAUUUCCGAGGCUACUAAAGCAGGUGCAGCAUCUAUGGUUCACUACACAGCUCUGAUACUGGCCCGCUUGGUGCUCCUUACUCUGUGUGGAUGGGUGCUUUGUUGGACCUUGGUCAAUCUCUUCCGAAGCCAUUC